UUAAGUUAUUAAGGGCGCACGGUGGAUGCCUUGGCACUAGAAGCCGAUGAAGGACGUUACUAACGACGAUAUGCUUUGGGGAGCUGUAAGUAAGCUUUGAUCCAGAGAUUUCCGAAUGGGGAAACCCAGCAUGAGUUAUGUCAUGUUAUCGAUAUGUGAAUACAUAGCAUAUCAGAAGGCACACCCGGAGAACUGAAACAUCUUAGUACCCGGAGGAAGAGAAAGAAAAUUCGAUUCCCUUAGUAGCGGCGAGCGAAAUGGGAAGAGCCCAAACCAACAAGCUUGCUUGUUGGGGUUGUAGGACACUCUAUACGGAGUUACAAAGGACGACAUUAGACGAAUCAUCUGGAAAGAUGAAUCAAAGAAGGUAAUAAUCCUGUAGUCGAAAAUGUUGUCUCUCUUGAGUGGAUCCUGAGUACGACGGAGCACGUGAAAUUCCGUCGGAAUCUGGGAGGACCAUCUCCUAAGGCUAAAUACUCUCUAGUGACCGAUAGUGAACCAGUACCGUGAGGGAAAGGUGAAAAGCACCCCGGAAGGGGAGUGAAAUAGAACCUGAAACCGUGUGCUUACAAGUAGUCAGAGCCCGUUAAUGGGUGAUGGCGUGCCUUUUGUAGAAUGAACCGGCGAGUUACGAUUUGAUGCAAGGUUAAGCAGUAAAUGUGGAGCCGUAGCGAAAGCGAGUCUGAAUAGGGCGUUUAGUAUUUGGUCGUAGACCCGAAACCAGGUGAUCUACCCUUGGUCAGGUUGAAGUUCAGGUAACACUGAAUGGAGGACCGAACCGACUUACGUUGAAAAGUGAGCGGAUGAACUGAGGGUAGCGGAGAAAUUCCAAUCGAACCUGGAGAUAGCUGGUUCUCUCCGAAAUAGCUUUAGGGCUAGCCUCAAGUGAUGAUUAUUGGAGGUAGAGCACUGUUUGGACGAGGGGCCCCUCUCGGGUUACCGAAUUCAGACAAACUCCGAAUGCCAAUUAAUUUAACUUGGGAGUCAGAACAUGGGUGAUAAGGUCCGUGUUCGAAAGGGAAACAGCCCAGACCACCAGCUAAGGUCCCAAAAUAUAUGUUAAGUGGAAAAGGAUGUGGCGUUGCCCAGACAACUAGGAUGUUGGCUUAGAAGCAGCCAUCAUUUAAAGAGUGCGUAAUAGCUCACUAGUCGAGUGACACUGCGCCGAAAAUGUACCGGGGCUAAACAUAUUACCGAAGCUGUGGAUUGUCCUUUGGACAAUGGUAGGAGAGCGUUCUAAGGGCGUUGAAGCAUGAUCGUAAGGACAUGUGGAGCGCUUAGAAGUGAGAAUGCCGGUGUGAGUAGCGAAAGACGGGUGAGAAUCCCGUCCACCGAUUGACUAAGGUUUCCAGAGGAAGGCUCGUCCGCUCUGGGUUAGUCGGGUCCUAAGCUGAGGCCGACAGGCGUAGGCGAUGGAUAACAGGUUGAUAUUCCUGUACCACCUAUAAUCGUUUUAAUCGAUGGGGGGACGCAGUAGGAUAGGCGAAGCGUGCGAUUGGAUUGCACGUCUAAGCAGUAAGGCUGAGUAUUAGGCAAAUCCGGUACUCGUUAAGGCUGAGCUGUGAUGGGGAGAAGACAUUGUGUCUUCGAGUCGUUGAUUUCACACUGCCGAGAAAAGCCUCUAGAUAGAAAAUAGGUGCCCGUACCGCAAACCGACACAGGUAGUCAAGAUGAGAAUUCUAAGGUGAGCGAGCGAACUCUCGUUAAGGAACUCGGCAAAAUGACCCCGUAACUUCGGGAGAAGGGGUGCUCUUUAGGGUUAACGCCCAGAAGAGCCGCAGUGAAUAGGCCCAAGCGACUGUUUAUCAAAAACACAGGUCUCUGCUAAACCGUAAGGUGAUGUAUAGGGGCUGACGCCUGCCCGGUGCUGGAAGGUUAAGAGGAGUGGUUAGCUUCUGCGAAGCUACGAAUCGAAGCCCCAGUAAACGGCGGCCGUAACUAUAACGGUCCUAAGGUAGCGAAAUUCCUUGUCGGGUAAGUUCCGACCCGCACGAAAGGCGUAACGAUUUGGGCACUGUCUCAACGAGAGACUCGGUGAAAUCAUAGUACCUGUGAAGAUGCAGGUUACCCGCGACAGGACGGAAAGACCCCGUGGAGCUUUACUGUAGCCUGAUAUUGAAAUUCGGCACAGCUUGUACAGGAUAGGUAGGAGCCUUUGAAACGUGAGCGCUAGCUUACGUGGAGGCGCUGGUGGGAUACUACCCUAGCUGUGUUGGCUUUCUAACCCGCACCACUUAUCGUGGUGGGAGACAGUGUCAGGCGGGCAGUUUGACUGGGGCGGUCGCCUCCUAAAAGGUAACGGAGGCGCUCAAAGGUUCCCUCAGAAUGGUUGGAAAUCAUUCAUAGAGUGUAAAGGCAUAAGGGAGCUUGACUGCGAGACCUACAAGUCGAGCAGGGUCGAAAGACGGACUUAGUGAUCCGGUGGUUCCGCAUGGAAGGGCCAUCGCUCAACGGAUAAAAGCUACCCCGGGGAUAACAGGCUUAUCUCCCCCAAGAGUUCACAUCGACGGGGAGGUUUGGCACCUCGAUGUCGGCUCAUCGCAUCCUGGGGCUGUAGUCGGUCCCAAGGGUUGGGCUGUUCGCCCAUUAAAGCGGUACGCGAGCUGGGUUCAGAACGUCGUGAGACAGUUCGGUCCCUAUCCGUCGUGGGCGUAGGAAAUUUGAGAGGAGCUGUCCUUAGUACGAGAGGACCGGGAUGGACAUACCUCUGGUGUACCAGUUGUCGUGCCAACGGCAUAGCUGGGUAGCUAUGUGUGGACGGGAUAAGUGCUGAAAGCAUCUAAGCAUGAAGCCCCCCUCAAGAUGAGAUUUCCCAACUUCGGUUAUAAGAUCCCUCAAAGAUGAUGAGGUUAAUAGGUUCGAGGUGGAAGCAUGGUGACAUGUGGAGCUGACGAAUACUAAUCGAUCGAAGACUUAAUCAA
rnacentral:rRNA from 456 species